rnacentral:rRNA from 1 species
CCUACGGGAGGCAGCAGUGGGGAAUAUUGCACAAUGGGGGAAACCCUGAUGCAGCGACGCCGCGUGAGUGAAGAAGUAUUUCGGUAUGUAAAGCUCUAUCAGCAGGGAAGAAAUAGCGACCUUUGGGUCGCCAGACGGUACCUGACUAAGAAGCCCAGGCUAACUACGUGCCAGCAGCCGCGGUAAUACGUAGGGGGCAAGCGGUAUCCGGAUUUACUGGGUGGAGAGGGCGCGUAGACGGCAGGACAAGUCUGAAGUGAAAUGCCGGGGCUUAACCCCGGAACUGCAUUGGAAACUGUGUAGCUAGAGUGCAGGAGAGGUAAGCGGAAUUCCUAGUGUAGCGGUGAAAUGCGUAGAUAUUAGGAGGAACACCAGUGGCGAAGGCGGUUUACUGGACUGUAACUGACGUUGAGGCUCGAAAGCGUGGGGAGCAAACAGGAUUAGAUACCCGUGUAGUC